CAAUAGCGUAUAUUAAAGUUGUUGCAGUUAGAACGCUCGUAGUCGGAUUUCGGGGCGUUCCGACCGGUCUGCCGAUGGGUAUGCACUGGCCGGAGUGUCCUUUUUGCCGGAGACCGUGCCUACUCUUAACUGAGCGGGGGCGGGAGACGGCACUUUUACUUUGAAAAAAUCAGAGUGUUUCAAGCAGGCAGCUCGCUCUUGCAUGGGUUAGCAUGGGAUAAUGAAAUAGGACUUUGGUGCUAUUUUGUUGGUUUCGAACACCGAAGUAAUGAUGAGAAGGGACAGUCAGGGGCACUCGUAUUCCGCAGAGAGAGGUGAAAUUCUCAGACCCGCGGAAGACGAACCACUGCGAAAGCAUUUGCCAGGGAUGUUUUCACUGA
rnacentral:rRNA from 1 species